UGACAUGACACUACACUACACCCUGGGCAGGUAGGGACUAGACAUGACACUACACCCUGGGCAGGUAGGGACCUGACAUGACACUACACUACACUACACCCUGGGCAGGUAGGGACCUGACAUGACACUACACUACACCCUGGGCAGGUAGGGACCUGACAUGACACUACACUACACCCUGGGCAGGUAGGGACCUGACAUGACACUACAUUACACCCUGGGCAGGUAGGGACCAGACAUGACACUACACUACACCCUGGGCAGGUAGGGACCUGACAUGACACUACACUACACCCUGGGCAGGUAGGGACCUGACAUGACACUACACUACACUACACUACACCCUGGGCAGGUAGGGACCUGACAUGACACUACACUACACCCUGGGCAGGUAGGGACCAGACAUGACACUACACUACACCCUGGGUAGGUAGGGACCUGACAUGACACUACACUACACCCUGGGUAGGUAGGGACCUGACAUGACACUACACCCUGGGCAGGUAGGGACCUGACAUGACACUACACUACACCCUGGGCAGGUAGGGACCUGACAUGACACUACACUACACCCUGGACAGGUAGGGACCUGACACUGCACCCUGGGUAGGUAGGGAACAGACACUGCACCCUGGGUAGGUAGGGACCAGACACUGCACCCUGGGUAGGUAGGGACCAGACACUGCACCCUGGGUAGGUAGGGACCAGACACUGCACCCUGGGUAGGUAGGGACCAGACACUGCACCCUGGGUAGGUAGGGACCAGACACUG
rnacentral:lncRNA from 1 species